AAUGAAAACUGCUUAGUAGGGAAGAUAUAGUGAUUUGAACCGUAAUGCAGUAAAUAGUGGAAAUUAAAAGCAAAAAUCACUAUUAGUUAUAAAAAAGAAAAAAAUUUUUGUAGUAAAUGAUCCAGUGAAAUGUUAAAAAGUUUGUAAAAUAUAGUGAAGUAGCGAAGAAGUCGUCUCUAUAUUUUUUGUAUGGCACUCAAAAGCAAUAAUUAAGUUAGAGUUAUUUAAGAAGAUGGUUGCAUUUUCCCUUUUUAUCAAAAAAACAUCGCCAUAUACGAUGGCAUGUGUGCGCAUAAUUUUGUAAAUAUAUUAAAAGUAAUAUCGAGACGAGUGUUCACAACAGCUUCGUUGACAUAUAUCUAACAAAGAACUAUUUAAAAAGAGUUCCAUCUGAAUGGCUUAUUAUGGCAACGAGUGCGUGUGUGUGGUUGUUUACAAUUUGACUAAUUGUCAGCUGAGAGUGAAUAUUACUUUGCAGUAAUACUAAACAAAAACAAGUAAGGAAGCUGUAUUCGGCGGUGGCCGAAUUUAGCAUACCCACCGCACGGUGGGUUCGCAUUCUACUUUCCAAGUUCCUUUAUUUGACACCUAUAUCGUUUGUAUUAAGAAAAAAGUAAUCGCGGUGCUUAGCGUAUUCAUUUUAGAAUUAACCCAUUCGUAGACAGAUAAUGUGUCUUUAUUUGAGGAAUGCCCAACUAGUUUUAAACAUUCUGACUUGUUCAUGCAGCGAUAAAUAAGCAUAAAACUUCAAAAAAGGGAAAAAA